CCUUAAGGCAUCUAGUUACUGAAGUUUUAGAUUUUUAAGAGUUUUACAAAACUCGAAAAUCACCUCAAACGCCUAAGGGAUGAUAAAAUCUUCAAGCUGAAUCCGUUUGGUCUACUCAGAAGCUAUGAUCAGGCAUACCUUAGGCGUUUGAGGUGGUUAUCGAAUUUUGUAAAACUCUUAAAAAUCUAAGAUUUCAGUAACUAGAUGCCUUAAGGUUUUCCAACAUACAGAGAAUGCAAACAUUUUGUUAAGAAAACCUGAUAAACUUGACAUUCUAGUAACUUGAAGCCGAAAAUUCAUUUAACUUACGUAGAAUGCAAACAUUAUGUUAAGAAAGCUUAUUUUUCUUGCAGUGAAUCUGAAGGGUUGUGUAAAGGAAGUUUGGUGGCCGAAAACAAAAAACUCUUUCAGCAACAUUUGGUUGAAAUUAAAAUUAUUUUACACAAAUUGAAGGAAGAGACCCACCGCCACUGAUAAAUCGAACAACUUUUUAAAUCCUAGAAAAAAUAUAUGAACAAUUGAACUGGAACAAAUAUUCAAUUGAUUGGUACACGUACACUACAAAUUCAAGUUUUAAUAAUGACGAAUGGAGUGUAUUGUUACUACAUGCCGAUACUAAUGCACUUGGAUUUACUAACAAAACAACCAAGUUAAAUAUAGCAGAUGCAAUCAA